CAGGCCUAACACAUGCAAGUCGAACGGUAACAGGUCUUCGGACGCUGACGAGUGGCGAACGGGUGAGUAAUACAUCGGAACGUGCCCAGUCGUGGGGGAUAACUACUCGAAAGAGUAGCUAAUACCGCAUACGAUCUGAGGAUGAAAGCGGGGGACCUUCGGGCCUCGCGCGAUUGGAGCGGCCGAUGGCAGAUUAGGUAGUUGGUGGGAUAAAAGCUUACCAAGCCGACGAUCUGUAGCUGGUCUGAGAGGACGACCAGCCACACUGGGACUGAGACACGGCCCAGACUCCUACGGGAGGCAGCAGUGGGGAAUUUUGGACAAUGGGCGAAAGCCUGAUCCAGCAAUGCCGCGUGCAGGAUGAAGGCCUUCGGGUUGUAAACUGCUUUUGUACGGAACGAAAAAGCUCCUUCUAAUACAGGGGGCCCAUGACGGUACCGUAAGAAUAAGCACCGGCUAACUACGUGCCAGCAGCCGCGGUAAU
rnacentral:rRNA from 1 species